rnacentral:rRNA from 3 species
CAGUGGGGAAUAUUGCACAAUGGGCGCAAGCCUGAUGCAGCCAUGCCGCGUGUAUGAAGAAGGCCUUCGGGUUGUAAAGUACUUUCAGCGGGGAGGAAGGUGUUGUGGUUAAUAACCGCAGCAAUUGACGUUACCCGCAGAAGAAGCACCGGCUAACUCCGUGCCAGCAGCCGCGGUAAUACGGAGGGUGCAAGCGUUAAUCGGAAUUACUGGGCGUAAAGCGCACGCAGGCGGUCUGUCAAGUCGGAUGUGAAAUCCCCGGGCUCAACCUGGGAACUGCAUUCGAAACUGGCAGGCUUGAGUCUUGUAGAGGGGGGUAGAAUUCCAGGUGUAGCGGUGAAAUGCGUAGAGAUCUGGAGGAAUACC